UACGUAGGGGGCUAGCGUUGUCCGGAAUCAUUGGGCGUAAAGAGCGUGUAGGCGGUCCGGUAAGUCCGCUGUGAAAGUCGGGGGCUCAACCCUCGAAUGCCGGUGGAUACUGUCGGGCUAGAGUGCGGAAGAGGCGAGUGGAAUUCCUGGUGUAGCGGUGAAAUGCGCAGAUAUCAGGAGGAACACCGAUGGCGAAGGCAGUGAUCUGGGCCGGUACUGACGCUGAGGAGCGAAAGCGUGGGGAGCAAACAGG
rnacentral:rRNA from 1 species